ACACCGUCAAAUAAUUUCGUCAUCAAUUGGAUACACUUGAUUUGUGUUGACGUCAGUGGGUGUGUUAUAAUGCGUGUGUAUGCAAGCGUGUGUGCCAGCUUGUGUGUCAGCAUGUGAACACAAGCAAGAACCUGUUGAGUCCGGUCAGUGUCGGCUGCGAUCACAUUUCUAGAUUGUUCAACCUGUCUGCAGACUAAUCUGUGAUGAGUAAUGACUCAUUUAACAAUCAGGGAGCUGAGCCGAAGCCAGCAGUGGAUGUGCAGGGGGCUAAAUGCUGUUAAUUGAUUUAUGUCAUGGAUAUCGCCAAACAACAGUUUCAGAAGAGAUAGUUUUGGGUGCUGAAAGAUGAUAUUUAGGGUAAGCUUAACAUGAUCAAUUGCACCUUAAGUGUCGUUUUUUCCUGUAACAUUUUACAGGAAACUCUAUGAUUGAGUAGUUGUAAAUAAAGAGGAAUGAGGACAAACGUUUAAAUGGUGCAAAGACAUAUCAGCAAACACACACACACACACACACACACACACACACACACACACACACACACACACACACACACACGUACAGCUGCCAUCUAGAGCCCCUGGCCAUUGUUUCCACCUCCGAUUUGGACAGGCUUUUUUUAUCUCCCUCCCUGGAGAAGCAGUUUGGUCCUGAGAGUAGGAUCAUACACAUCACCCCUGUUUACCGUCCUCUUUAUUGCACGUGUAAAGACAAUUAAACACAUGUAAAGACACAAACAUACAUUGCAAAGUAAAGUAAUAGUUGGCCCUGAAUCUUCCAGAUAAAGACCCAGUUUGAGCAACAAGGUCGCAUUGUUUGUGUGAAAACACAGCCAUGUUCUGUGUCCUUGUAGGGGAGAACGCCAGCUACGUUUUGUCUCACAUGUAACCUACAGCAACAUAUGCAUCCCAUAAAAUGAUCAGAUUUUUAUGAAGGGGUUUGUUUGCCCUUUGAUAAAAAUAAAAAAAUCUGAAAUGUAGAAAAAUAUGAUAUUUAUUAUCAUUAAACUGAUUCUCUUUUACCAGCAACGGGCCAAUUUAACCUUUAACAACACAUUUGAUAACACAUUAUUUACCCUAGGAAGGAUCCUAAGUUAGCAUUCAACCACUAGCUAAUAAACGGUCAGUUAGGAAAAUAGCGUUAGCUAGCAUUAGCAUUAGCAUUCAAUAGGACUACUCUCCUUUUCCCAGUGUACAAUCACCAGCACAAGCACUGAAUGCUUACAUUAGCUGUUGCAUUUUUACAAUCCACUUCGCUGUAGUUGCUGAACAAUCUGGAUCAGCAACAUGAUGUGACACAUUCUCUACACUUCUAUGAUUUGCAACCUUAAACACACCUCAACGACAGAUCCUUUUCAUAACAGCAUGGCAGCUUCCCACCUAAAGCAGGACCUCAAAGGUAAAUGGCUGCUGUUUGAAUUGUGAAUGAUCUAGACACUGACAGGUUGACACAUAAACCGCAGCACAACAUUUGAAGACUGAGUAAAGAUAAAACGCAGACUGAUCAACUACAUCAGAUUAAGCCACACUCUCAGGCUCUUACAGAGUCUUUAUUUAGUUUAUCUACUCAAACAUUACUGCAGUGGAGGAAAUGGUGUCUAUUUUCAAAAACCCCACAGUAAAACGUAUCACUUUUGUUUGCCCCUCUUUUCUCUCUCUCUCUCCCUCUAACUGUGUGUGUUUUUCUCUCCCUCACAUUUGCAUGGUAGCGGAACAGCUUUGCAUGACUGACCGUGCCUGGUGUCCCCUGGCUGUUGGCGGCUGUGCUGCAGGGGAAGCUUAACACCCGCACAGGGACAUUUGAUUAUUCAAAGCACACACACACAUGGCUGCACUGGAGGCCAGUGGCAGUGAUGUGUAUCAGAGGUGGAGGAAGAAGGGUGGGAUGAUGGAUGGAGAUUUGAAUGGUUUGAAUCUUGAGCUGCAGCUGUGAUUGUGGUCCUGAAAUGAAAAUUUGCAAAAACAAACUUAUUUCCGGUAGAGGCUAUUUUGUUUAAAGUUAAGUUUGGUAUCAACUUUUGUAUUAGCCUAGGUUAGAAGUUUUGGCCUAUGACUUCCAAAUUCAUUAAUAAUCAUAACAUCAUAUGUCAAAAGCUGCAGAGAGGGCAAGAAACAAUCAAACUACAGGUUUUAUUUGCUUUAUUCACCCUUAAACUGACAGUCAAUACCAGUUUAGAAACUGAAUUCAUGUGUCCUGCUCACCAUUUACACAUUUCUCUGUUCAUUUGAAAAGUUAGGGGCCCUUUUUUUUUCAUUGACAAGUGCAACGCUUGAGAUUUGGGUGCACUGGCUUUUUUGAUGUAUGUGCAGCAGUGCAAAAUACAAACAGACUAAGUGAAGUGGAAUAUAUGUCGAGCAGAGGGUGUGGUGAAUAACAAAUACGUCUCAGCCAGUCACAUGAUUGGACGCAUUGCUUUGAAACAGCUGUGCAAAUGACAAGAACACAUAACGACAAUAGCUUGGCAAACAUACACUUUUUCAGUUAUUUUUUUGUUGUCUGAAUAGAGCAAAUAAACAUGGAGUGGAUACACUGCACCACAAAUCUGCAGCCAGAUUCAAUUGAGUUGUACUUGCAUUUAGUUUGUUCAAUGAUG